rnacentral:rRNA from 1 species
GAGUUACGAUUUGAUGCAAGGUUAAGCAGUAAAUGUGGAGCCGUAGCGAAAGCGAGUCUGAAUAGGGCGUUUAGUAUUUGGUCGUAGACCCGAAACCAGGUGAUCUACCCUUGGUCAGGUUGAAGUUCAGGUAACACUGAAUGGAGGACCGAACCGACUUACGUUGAAAAGUGAGCGGAUGAACUGAGGGUAGCGGAGAAAUUCCAAUCGAACCUGGAGAUAGCUGGUUCUCUCCGAAAUAGCUUUAGGGCUAGCCUCAAGUGAUGAUUAUUGGAGGUAGAGCACUGUUUGGACGAGGGGCCCCUCUCGGGUUACCGAAUUCAGACAAACUCCGAAUGCCAAUUAAUUUAACUUGGGAGUCAGAACAUGGGUGAUAAGGUCCGUGUUCGAAAGGGAAACAGCCCAGACCACCAGCUAAGGUCCCAAAAUAUAUGUUAAGUGGAAAAGGAUGUGGCGUUGCCCAGACAACUAGGAUGUUGGCUUAGAAGCAGCCAUCAUUUAAAGAGUGCGUAAUAGCUCACUAGUCGAGUGACACUGCGCCGAAAAUGUACCGGGGCUAAACAUAUUACCGAAGCUGUGGAUUGUCCUUUGGACAAUGGUAGGAGAGCGUUCUAAGGGCGUUGAAGCAUGAUCGUAAGGACAUGUGGAGCGCUUAGAAGUGAGAAUGCCGGUGUGAGUAGCGAAAGACGGGUGAGAAUCCCGUCCACCGAUUGACUAAGGUUUCCAGAGGAAGGCUCGUCCGCUCUGGGUUAGUCGGGUCCUAAGCUGAGGCCGACAGGCGUAGGCGAUGGAUAACAGGUUGAUAUUCCUGUACCACCUAUAAUCGUUUUAAUCGAUGGGGGGACGCAGUAGGAUAGGCGAAGCGUGCGAUUGGAUUGCACGUCUAAGCAGUAAGGCUGAGUAUUAGGCAAAUCCGGUACUCGUUAAGGCUGAGCUGUGAUGGGGAGAAGACAUUGUGUCUUCGAGUCGUUGAUUUCACACUGCCGAGAAAAGCCUCUAGAUAGAAAAUAGGUGCCCGUACCGCAAACCGACACAGGUAGUCAAGAUGAGAAUUCUAAGGUGAGCGAGCGAACUCUCGUUAAGGAACUCGGCAAAAUGACCCCGUAACUUCGGGAGAAGGGGUGCUCUUUAGGGUUAACGCCCAGAAGAGCCGCAGUGAAUAGGCCCAAGCGACUGUUUAUCAAAAACACAGGUCUCUGCUAAACCGUAAGGUGAUGUAUAGGGGCUGACGCCUGCCCGGUGCUGGAAGGUUAAGAGGAGUGGUUAGCUUCUGCGAAGCUACGAAUCGAAGCCCCAGUAAACGGCGGCCGUAACUAUAACGGUCCUAAGGUAGCGAAAUUCCUUGUCGGGUAAGUUCCGACCCGCACGAAAGGCGUAACGAUUUGGGCACUGUCUCAACGAGAGACUCGGUGAAAUCAUAGUACCUGUGAAGAUGCAGGUUACCCGCGACAGGACGGAAAGACCCCGUGGAGCUUUACUGUAGCCUGAUAUUGAAAUUCGGCACAGCUUGUACAGGAUAGGUAGGAGCCUUUGAAACGUGAGCGCUAGCUUACGUGGAGGCGCUGGUGGGAUACUACCCUAGCUG